rnacentral:piRNA from 1 species
UUGGUUGAGUGCUCCCCUAAAACUUAGA